AAGGGAUAGGUGCCUCCCUGGGCACCACCAUCUCUGCAGCACUCUCCCUUUCAACAGAGCCAGGCAGGUCGUUAUCAGCAGCGCCUUCUGCCACUGGAAACCACAGGAGGCUUUAAUGAGAACAGAGCCCUUCCUGACACUUACAAUCAGAAACUACCUAAAAUAAAGAUUAUAGUAAGUACCAAAUAAAUGUCAGUGCUGAAAGUCUUUUUAUUAUGAUGGAGUAUGAAUGUUUAAAUGUUUUCUUCUUUAUCCAUAUCUAAAACUUUGUAUUAUUUUUCAAGUGAUACUUGAGGCAUGGAAAAUUUAA
rnacentral:lncRNA from 1 species